UGCCUACGGGGCGCAGCAGUGGGGAAUAUUGCACAAUGGGGGAAACCCUGAUGCAGCGACGCCGCGUGAGCGAGGAAGUAUUUCGGAAUGUAAAGCUCUAUCAGCAGGGACGAAAAAAGACGGUACCUGACUAAGAAGCCCCGGCUAACUACGUGCCAGCAGCCGCGGUAAUACGCAGGGGGCAAGCGUUAUCCGGAUUUACUGGGUGUAAAGGGAGCGUAGGCGGCGAUGCAAGUCAGAAGUGAAAGCCCGGGGCUCAACUCCGGGACUGCUUUUGAAACUGUAUGGCUAGAUUGCAGGAGAGG
rnacentral:rRNA from 1 species